GCUGGUCUUCUCACAUCUGAUGUUGAAGAGCUUACCCUGACCGCUUUUUUCCUACAAGAUUCAGCCCUACAUCACAUCUUGUGGUUCAAGGCUGUCCAGUAGUAAAGACAUCCCGUGUGCCACAGACAGCCCACUCCAUCUUUUCCCCUUGGCUCUCACCUCUGCAAUAUGCCCCUCCUUAGACCCAAGACCAGCACAAGAAGCAAUGCCCUCAUUUUGCCUUUGGAUUUAUUCCAGUGUGACUGAAUCUCCACUUUAUGGUGUAGUGAUUCUGGAGUCAGGCCCAGGUUCAAAUCACAUUCCUUUACAUAUUAACUGUGCUACUUUGGGCAAGUUGCCCACUCCCAUUUCUUCAUCUGAAAAAUAAGGAUAAUAAUCAUUCCUACUUCAUAAGGUUAUUGUAAGGACUAAUAAUUUCAUGCCCAAUAAGUAGUUUUGAGCAGUGCCUGGCACAAAAUGAGUACUCCAUACAUAUUAUCUGUCAUUAGGGGUUCUCUCAAGGUACUAUUUAAGAUUUUUUUUUUAAAGAAAUCAAGAGAUAUCUGCUGUGAAAUAAAAAUCACGUACAUUGGGCUGGGCGCAGUGGCUCAUGCCUGUAAUCCCAGCCCUUUGGGGGGCCGAGGCAGGCGGAUUACCUGAGGUUGGGAGUUCGAGACCAGACUGAUCAACAUGGAGAAACCCCGUCUCCACUAAAAAUACAAAAUUACCCAGGCAUGGUGGCGCAUUCCUGUAAUCCCAGCUACUUGGGAGGCUGAGGCAGGAGAAUCGCUUGAACCAGGAGGCGGAGGUUGCGGUGAGCUGAGAUCGUGCCAUUGCACUCCAGCCUGGGCAAUGAGUGAAACUCCAUCUCAAAAAAAAAAAAAAAAAAAAGAAUGAUGUAUAUUGGUCUCCACCCCAAGUUCCUGGCACAGAGCUUCGAAAACCCUUGUGAUUUCCUGAGCAAUAGGGGUUCUAGGAGAAACUUUUGUUGGAAUUAUUGGGUCUCUGCCCCAGGUACCUGAGACAGAGCUCUUAAACCUUUGAUUUCCUGAGUAAUAGGAACACCUGACUUAGAGUUCCUGAAUCCCUUGGAAUUUUUCUGAGGAACAUCUUUUUUUCUAAUAAGGGGACUCUUGGUGAGCUCCUGGACAGGGGCUGCUCACUGGAAAGACUAAGCAAUGAUUAGAAGCUUGGAGCUUUCAGCCCCAUCCUCCAUUCUUUAGAGAUGGGGAAGGGCUAGAGACUGAAUUAAUCUUCCAUCAUGCCUACCUGAUGAAGCCGAAGUACUGAACUAUGGGGUUCAGAGAGCUUCCGGAUAGCAGAACACGUCCAUGUGCUGGGAGGGUGGUGCACCCCAACUCCAUGGGGACAGAAGCUCCUGCACUCAGGACCCUUCCACACCUGAUCUCUUCAUCUGGCUGUUCAUCUACAUCUUUUUUUUUUUUUGAGACAGGAUCUCACUCUGUCACCUAGGCUGGAGUGCAGUGGCAUAAUCACGGCUCACUGCAGCCUCGACGUCCUGGGCUCAAACAGAUCCUCCCACCUCCUGAGUAGCUGAGGCAGGAGAAUGGUGUGACCCAGGAGGCGGAGCUUGCAGUGAGCCGAGAUCGCGCCGUUGCACUCCAGCCUGGGCAACAGAACGAGACUCCGAUUCAAAAAAAAAAAAAGAAAGAAAGUACCAACUAUUUUUCCUGUCUCACACAUCUGCUAAAAAGGUUUUCUCUCUUCGCAUGAGCUCAUGGGCUUUCUGAGCAUUUCUGUACCCAGAUCGCAGCUUAAUGCCAUAUAUGCCACAGAAACACACCCCUGACCAGCACACAGACAGCUACUUAGCUGUUUAAUGGUUUCACCUAGACUCACAAUUUCAAGGUCUCACUUUCACUCACAGCAGCCCAAUCAAAGGGUUAGAAUUGGUAAACAAACAGGCUCGGAGCGGUAUAACAGAAAAAUAAUUUCUUUUGGCUUUUCUUGCUCUUGGUCAAUGAAACUUUGAUCAGAGAGAACAUCUGAGGCUAUACUUGUUUCAAGUUGUGUUUGUUUGAAAAAAAAAAAAAAGUUAGCCAGGCACAGUGGCUCAUGCCUGUAGUCCCAGCACUUUGGGAGGCCAAGGUGGGAGGAUUGCUUGAGUCCAGGAGUUCCAGACCAGCCUGGGCAACAUAGCAAGACCUUGUCUCUACAAAAAAAAAAAAAAAAACAGUGAGGGGAAGUGUGAUUUAUUUGUUUUUUUUUUUUAUUUUAAAUCUUUUUUUUUUUUUUUUUUGAGACAGAGUCUUGCUCUGUAGCCCACGUUGGAGUGCAGUGGCAUGAUCUUGGCUCACUGCAACCUCCACCUCCCGGGUUCAAGCGAUUUUCCUGUCUCAGCCUCCCGAGUAGCUGUGACUACAGGCACAUGACACCACGCCCAGCUAAAUUUUGUGUUUUUAGCAGAGAUGCAGUUUCACCAUAUUGGUCAGGCUGGUCUUGAACUCCUGACCUCAGGUGAUCCAUCCGCCUCGGCCUCCCAAAGUGCUGGGAUUACAGGCGUGAGCCACUGCGCCCAGUCAAUUCUACCCUUAAUAAGUAAUAUAUUCACAGGGCUUACAACACUUAAAAACACAAAAGGGUACACAAUGAAGUUUCCCUCCCUCCCGUGACCCUAGCCACCCAGUUCUCUUCUCAGAAGCAACCAAUAUUACCAAUUUGGUACUGGAUACUGGAUAUUCCUAUAGAUAUUCUGUACAAAUAUAAGCAAAUACACGUUUUUAUCUUUUAGUACAGAUUUCCACUUGCUCUUUAAAUUUAAUUGUAUUACAUAUAUAAUAUAGGUUUAUUACAUAUUUAAUAUAGGUUUAAUUUGAAAGUAAAGGCAAAAACUGCAAUUACUUUUGCACCAACUAAUACAUACAAAAGAAUAUUUAUAUCAUGUUUAAGAUUUUUUUUUUAAUUUUGGCUGGGUGCAGUGGCUUAUGCCUGUAAUCCUAGCACUUUGGGAGGCCGAGGCAGGCGGAUCACUUGAAGUCAGGAGUUUCAGACCAGCCUCGUCAACAUGGGGAAACCCCGUCUCUACUAAAAAUACAAAAAUUAGCUGGGCAUGGUGGUUCACAGUUGUAAUCCCAGCUACUUGGUAGGCUGAGGCAGGAGAAUUGCUUGAACCAGGGAGGCAGAGGUUGCGGUGAGCCGAGAUUGUGCCACUGUACUCCAGCCUAGGUGACAGAGGGAGACUCUGUCUCAAAAAUAUAUAUAUCUAUAUGUAUAGAUAGAUUUUUUAAAAAAUUUUAAGCCAUCACUCAGCUUAAGAAACAUAAACAUUUCAUCAGCCCCCAGUUGAUAAGCCUACAGAUGGUUUCCAACUUCCUGUUGUUAUGCCCACAGCUACAAUGAGUUUCCUCGUGUAUCCACCAUUUUAUAUGCGUGCAGUAUAUAUCUGUAAGAUAAAUUCCUAGAUGACGAAUUCCUAAGUCAAAGGGGAUGGUCACAGGUCAUUUCUAUAGAUAAAUAUCUGGAUUGUCCUCCACAGAAAUUGAAAAAAAUUGAUUCGUUUGUUUCUGAAAGUUUCCAAGAUGCCUAGAAGUCUAACAGGUGUAAAAAUCAUUUAAGUGACAGAAGACAGGAAAGCAAAAGGAUCUCAUUUAAGUGACAGUUCUUGUUAAAAAUAUAUAAAGCAUAACUAUCUCUUGUUUCCCCUGAGGCAAUCAUGUAAAACAACUCCUGACGGUGCCUUCGAUACUUGGGGAAGUGCCCAAACAUAUACUUUAUUCUGGUGUAAUUCCUGUAAGGAUUAAUAUUGCUCAGAACUGACAGGAAUUAUUAGUUCCCGCAAUGAGGUAAUUACAGAAUCAAGUUCAGCCACACUUUUUUGACUUUGUUUACUUUAAAAUGCCUGCUGCCUUAGAUAUUUAAGAUGUGCAUCUUGGGUUCCAAGUUUCGAAACAAAAAUCCCUGCAGAGGCGGAGGCUGCAGUGAGCCAAGAUCGUGCACACCAGCCUGAGCGACAGAGCAAGACUCUGUCUCAAAAUAACAACAACAACAAAAAUCCUUGCAAUAUAUAAGUUCUCUCAAUAUUCAAAAGCAUAAGGAACAAGCUGGAUGAUCAUUAACAAAGGGUUUAUCCAGAAAUACAACAACCGUCAGAUUAUAGGAACCUCUGCAAUGCAAUGUCAUGACCACUGGGGUUUGGCAUUGGAGAUGCAAGAACCUAAAUAUCACCCUUUUUGGGGAGGGCCACUAACUUGAGCCCUGUCAUAAGGAUCAGACCUAAAAAGAUGCUCUUAAAAUCCAGAGAUUGGAGAAAGUCAAUAUUCCCCCACCUGACCAGAUGCCUAAAUCAAGAGUAUUAGCACAUUUUACAACCAAACAUGAAUGGGCUGAGAUACAGUUCCUGACCUCUCUUGCCACUUUCUGUAAUUAGCCACACCAGCCACCACUUUGGAAAGGUGCUAAAGUUUACCCACUUACUAAAAACAGCCUAAUUACACUUAAAAUUAGCAAUAUACCUAAAUCCAUAUUUCAUGAUACAUGGUCCCAGAACACCUGCAGUAGACUUCCGGGUGGGGAAGUGGGAGUGAGUCUGGCUAUUAAAAUGCUGAUUUCGGCUGGGCGCGGUGGCUCAUGCCUGUAAUCUCAGCACUUUAGGAGGCCAAGGAGGGUGGAUUGCCUGAGCUCAGGGGUUCCAGACCAGCCUGGGCAACAUGGUGAAACGCUGUUUCUACUAAAAUUACAAAAAUUAGCCAGGCGUGGUGGCACACGCCUGUAGUCUCAGCUACUCAGGAAGCUGAGGCAGAGAAUCGCUUGAACCCAGGAGGCGACGGUUGUAAUGAGCCAAGAUUGCACCACUGCACUCCAGCCAGGCGAGAGUGGGAGACUCCGUCUCAAAAAAAAAAAAAAAAAAAAAAAUUUCUGGGCAUGGGGUUUGAGGAUAUUGGUAACACAAGUGGUUGCUCACUACAGGUCCUCGCUGGAAACAGCACUAAAGAACCAGGAUGUGGACUGACUCCUCUGUGCAAGUCACCGACAGUGCCCAUGUUUAUACUGUAGGCCCACGAACCAAGCAGCCAUGGCGGCAGGGACGGAGGUGUGCAUGGACUCAAUCACCAUCUUUCCCUCACCAGAGCUGACUCAGCUGCCUUCUCUGCUGAAGCCCUAAGUGGAGACCAAGGCUGAGCUAUGGCAUCUUAAUUAUGAGGCAUCCCUUCCAAAAGGGAAGACAGAGCUUUGCGUGUGGCAGUAUCAUAGCCAAUGAGGUUUAUCCGAGGCGUGAUUAUUGCUAAUUGAAAACAAAAUGGAAGACAGGUGACUUUUCCCCUCCCUUGAAUAAACACUUCUUCCACACAUGGAUUUCCUUUUCCUAAUCACCAUGCUUCUGCCAGCAACUUACCAACUCAAUGAAUGCCUCAUCCACUGCCACAACGCCAGACACCCACAUUGCUUCUGAUCACAAAUCCAUUCACAGCAAAAGAAAUGGGUCCAUAUGCUGGUACCCCCCAGAUGCUCUGAUCUUACCGUGGUCCCCAGGGGUAGGUGAUCUUCUUGAUGGUAGAAUGAAUGGCCCAUUGGAGACUGAGCUACAGUAUCCGCUGGCAGACACCACCUGGUGACACUGGGGUUCUGUCCCAUAAGAUGUAGUAGAUGCUCUGAACCAGUGACAGUACUGCCAGAGUUCACAGGUCUGGGCACCAAGGCUAGAAGUGAGUGCAUCUCCGACUGCUACACCUGAGGUCAGGCGUUUGAGACCAGCCCGACCAACAUGGAGAAACCCCGUCUUUACUAAAAAUACAAAAAAAUUAGCCAGGCAUAGUGGCGCAUGCCUGUAAUCCCAGCUACUCGGGAGGCUGGGGCAGGAGAAUUGCUUGAACCUGGGAGGUGGAGUUGUGGUGAGCUGAGAUCGCACCAUUGCACUCCAGCCUGGGCAACCACAGUGAAACUCCCUCUCAAAAAAAACAAAACAAAACAAAACAAAAAACAAAAUUGCAUCCAUUUAUUAUCAAGGGAGCAAUUAUAGCAGAACUUCACUAUGAAUGACUGUUUCUCUAGAUGUUUGUUUCCCGUCUCCAUCACUUUGAAUCAAAUGCCUUUUGGAUUCACGUAGCAAGCAAUUUCUGUUCUCUGCCGCUGAGACCUGACUGGGAUGCUUACUAAACCAGAACCACUCAGGGAGGUUCUGGACAUUUGCCUUUUUAACAAGUUUGACAUUUAUUGAUAAAGUUUAUUUGCAGUAACUACAGGGUAAGUUACUUCAGGUGGACAGCUGUGAAGGACACUUCAUCCCGACCAUGGGGAAGCUCAGUGACCCACUCCUGCCCUACAACAGACAGCACCUUGCUAGUGACCCAUUAUCUGAUUACAGAAUGUGGGCAUGAACUUGGAACUGGGUGAACUGGGAAUUGGAUGGCAGCCAGGCCCUGGAGUGGGAAUGCCUAGAUUCAAAUCCUGUCUCCACCACUCACUAGCUAUGUGGCUUUCUAUAAGUCACUUUACUUUACUGUGCCUACGUUUCCUAAUUUGUAACAUGAGGAGAAUAAUGGUAUCUACCUUAUAUUGUUGUUUUGAGGAUUGAGUUCAUACACAUGAAGAGCUUAGAUGAGCUAUCUGGGGCCAGGCACGAUGACUCACACCUGUAAUCCCAGCACUUUGGGAGGCCAAAGCAGGCAGAUCACCUGAGGUCAGGAAUUCGAGAGCAGCCUGGCCAACAUGGUGAACCCGUCUCUACUAAAAAUAUAAAAUUAGCCAGGCAUGGUGGCAGGUGUCUAUAGUCCCAGCUACUCAGGAGGCUGAGGCAGGAAAAUCACUUGAACCUGAGAGGCAGAGGUUGCAGUGAGCUGAGAUCGUGCCACUGCACUCCAGCCUAGGUGACAAGAGCAAAACUCUGUUCCAAAAAAGAAAAAAAAAAAAAGCAACAAAACACUUCACCUUUCGGUGUAUGAAAUAUUCUCUUCCCUGCCAACACACACACAAUCUCAUUUGAGCCUCAAAAUAAUUCUUAGGUGAGGCAAGGAAGGCCCAGAGAGGUUAAGUGACUUUCCCAAGGUCACACAGUAUGUCACUAGCAAAUGCAAAACUGUAACGGGGGCCAAGGACUUGAACUUAUUUUUCCUGUAUUCCAGGGGCAGGGACAAGAUCUCCUCAGCAUCUGGCCCCAAGGAGGUCAAACAUAGCUCUGCAUCCUGUGGGCCUUGAGUGGGAACUGAUUCAACCGUCACUUACGGCUGCAGAAACAGCGUGUGCCAGAACGGUGUGACUGUAUUAACAUCUUGCCCCACAAUUUCCUUCCAAUGUUCUUCCCAGAAAUUGCUCUAAAACUCCAGGUCCCCAUGGAAACCUCAGGAGAGAUUGCCUAUUGACUCUAAGUGAAGUUCUGCUAUGAGUGCUCCCUUGAUAAUAAAUGGAUGCAAUUUUGUUUUUUGUUUUGUUUUGUUUUGUUUUUUUUGAGAGGGAGUUUCGCUCUGGUUGCCCAGGCUGGAGUGCAAUGGUGCGAUCUCCACCUCCCGGGUUCAAGCAAUUCUCCUGCCUCAGCCUCCCGAGUAGCUGGGAUUACAGGCAUGCGCCACUAUGCCUGGCUAUUUUUUUUUUUGUAUUUUUAGUAAAGACGGGGUUUCUCCAUGUUGGUCGGGCUGGUCUCAAAUGCCUGACCUCAGGUGAUCCGCCCGCCUAGGCCUCCCAAAGUGUUGGGAUUACAGGCAUGAGCCACCGUGCCCAGCCUUUUAAAAUUUUAUUUUUGUGUGUGGAGACCGAGUCUUGCUGUCACCCAGGCUGGAGUGCAAUGGCUCGAUCUUAGCUCACUGCAACCUCUGCCUCCUGGGUUCAAGAGAUCCUCCUGCCUCAGCCUCCCAAGUAGCUGGGAUUACAGGCAUCUGCCAUCAUGCCCAGCUAAUUUUCAUAUUUUUAGUAGAGACAGGGUUUCAUCAUGUUGGCCAGGCUGGUCUUGAACUCCUGACCUUAAGUGAUCCACCGGCGUUGGCCUCCCAAAGUGCUAGGAUUACAGGUGUGAGCCACUGUGCCUGACCAAUAAAUGGAUGUUAUUAAAAGCCUGGCCUGAACAGAUACCUGCUGUAAAGCUCAGGGCCAAAGCCACAUUCUCCCUGGACUGCCAGGGUAAAAGACAUAGUUCAUUCUCUGGUGCUAGGCUGAGUGGUCAGCUUGGAGCAAAGGGGAAAAGUAUACUGUGAGCUCCUGCUCUCAAUAUCAGACACUAGACAUGGUGCUUUCCAUAUCUGCGUUUGUGACAAGAGGCUGGAAUGAGGUGCCUGCCAAGAAUGUGAGAGAACUAAUUAAAUAAAUCCAUGGUGUUCUUUGCUCUCUGCAAAAGUCAUUCAUAACGUGCUUUUCACACCAAAAGGUGGAAGAGUAGGGCUUGGAGUUAAGGCUGAAGGGACUGCAGACAAAACCGGUUUGAAAAAGGACAAGAUCAUCUAAAAAAGGAAUAGAAUCUAGUCAACGGGAAUAAUUCAAAGCACAAGACUUUAGCAGCAGUUUUCUAGCAUUAUCCUGAGAUCCAGUGGAGUGGCGGACUUGAUGUUCCAGACCCCUUUGGUGACAGGAGUUGUUCCUUUAUUGAAUGCUUGAGGAAUAUUUGUUGAGUGCUUACUAUAAGGUAUCAGAUACCAAGACACUGUAUUACAGUGGAGAAUAAGGCAGGGAGGACUCACAGUCCAAUGGAGGGAGAUAGAAAACAGACUUUUAGACCAGGUGUGGUGGCUCGUGCCUGUAAUCCCAGCAUUUUGGGAGGCUGAAGUGGGCGGACCAAUUGAAGUCAAGAGUUCGAGACCAGACUGGCCAACAUGAUGAAACUCUGUCUCUAAUAAAAAUACAAAAAUUAGCCAGGUGUGGUGGCACAUGCCUAUAAUCCCAGCUACUUGGGAGGCUGAGGCAGGAGAAUCCCUUGAAUCCAGGAGGCGGAGGCUGCAGUUAGUCAAGAUCACGCCACUGCACCCCAGCCUGGGUGACCGAGUGAGACUCCAUCUUAAUUUAAAAAAAAGGAAAACAGACUUUUAAACAAAUAAGUGUGCAAGAUCAUUUCAGUUAGUGAUAACUGCUAUGAAGAAAAAAGGGUACUGUCAUGUUGACUGGGGCAGUCAGCUCUAGAUACGUCACCAGGGAAGAAUUACCAGACUCGGAGCUCAGACCUCAAUGUCAGGCAGUGUCAGCCAACAGAAGAUAAGGGAGAAAAAAAGGGUCAGAUCAGGGUAAACAGAAUGUGAGGUCCCUGAGGAAGGAAUGAGCUUGUCCUGCUCACCAAAAGAAACCUAACGGGGGAAGCAGGACAGGGAAUGGGCCAGCAGUAGCAGAGCUGAAAUCACAGAGACAGCCGUAAUCCAGACCACACAGGGCCUGAGAGCCAGGGUAGAACAGUAUAUUUAGCUUAAGGACAUGCUGAGGCCAUUGCAAAGUGGUGGUGGUUUGUUGUUGUUUGAAAACGGGAAUGAGAUAGUCUGGUUUUUAACAGAUCACUCUGUAUGAAGGAGACAUGAAGCAGAAAGAAAAAAUAAAGAUCACUUUGGCUGCUUUGUGAAGAAAACACUGCAAAGUGGGAAGAGGUCAAGGAAAAAAAGCAAAGAGUUAUUGGAGUGGUGCCUGAGGAGUGUUUGCCCUGCUUCAGAGACAGUGGCCCUGGAGGACAGACAGGUUUUGAUGUCAUGAGAGGUCUCCUUGGAGGGGCAGAAAUGGGUAAUUCGUUCUUCAAAAUGGAAGAAUCAGCUGACAACCUGGCAAACAGCAGUCUCCCCUGCUGACCCACAUCCUCCUGCAGUACCACCCCCUUUCUCUGCCCCCUUCCCAAACCACUCUACUUCCUUCCUCCUGUUCCCUCCUGAACCUACUGAAAUUAGGCUGUCAUCCCCAUCACUCCACUGAAAUUGCCCACAGACCUCCACAGUGCCAAAACCAACGGUCAUCCCAGUCCUCAACUUACUCAACUGAUCAGCAACAUCUGACAGAGCUGAUCCCUCUCCCCUUCUAAUACCACUUUCUCCUUUGGGCAUCCUUGUUUUCUCCUCCUUCCUCCAUGACCAUUCCAUCUGUCUUCCCAUCUCCUAAGCCCUAAAUAAAAGCUCCCUAGGCUAGGUCCCUGGACCUUUCCUCUAUCCACACACAUUCUCUCAAUGAUAUCAUAGAGGCCUGUAUCUUUAAAUGUCAUCUAUUAACAGAUGUCUCCCAAUUUGAUAUUCCUAUCCUACAUCUCUCCACUUGACUCUGGGACCCCUUUAUCCAGCAUAUAUAUAUAUAUAUAUAUAUAUGCACACACACACACACACACAUAUAUAUAUACACACACAUAUAUACAUAUGGAGAGAUAGAGAGAGAGAGAGAGAGAGAGAGAGAGAGAGAAAGCAGCGAGCCAGAGUCUCACUCUGUCGCCCAGGCUGGAGUGCAGUGAUGUGAUCUCAGGCUCACUACAACCUCCGCCUACCACACCCGGCUACCAACUCCUAUUUGACAGCUCCUGUUAGACAUCCAACUGGCACCUCAAAUUUAACAUGCCCCCAGUAAAACUCCUGAUCUUCCUCCCCAAAAUUACUCCACCCACAAUCUUCCCCAACUCAGUAAAUAGCAACCAAUCUUCCACACAUUGUAGAAGUUCAUUGUCUGUCUUCUCCACAAGAAUGUAAUAUCCAUGAGCGCAGGACUCACUGCUGAAUCACCAGGGCAGUGAUACAGCAACAGUAGAGGUCUUGAACUCCUGGCCUCAAGUGAUCUGCCCACUUCAGCCUCCCAAAGUGCUGGGAUUAUAGGCAUGAGCCACCACACGCAGCCCUCCAGCUCUUUUAAAUAAGCAUCCUCCAUGAAGAAUUUCUGCAAAUCAUCAAGCUGUUAAUUGCUAUAUGCUGAAUGUACACAAGCCCCUACCAGUCUGAGAGUCCUGUGUAAAUCAUUUUCUCUUUCAAAUCCUGAUGAAAAAGGGACUCAAAGAGAAUCCAAACCACAGCCUGCAGGCUUCCUCAUGCUUCUGCUUCACUACUGAGCCAGCCACUGGUCAUGGUGUGUACUGCUGUCAACCACCAAAAUACCAGACUCAGUCAGAACACUGCUGUCCACUGUUCUACGGAAAAUCAGCAGCUACCUCCAAGGCUCCCACAGAGCCACAUGGGGCCCCCAGUGACACAGUUCUUUCUUUCCUUCCCAGGAGACAGGGCUUUCAAGAGAGUAAGAGAGUACAGGUAAGGGUGCACCGUGGCACAUCUCUCAUGGCACCUGCCAUCAAGGAACACUCUAAUGUAUAAUCAUCUAGUCUGGUCCUCUCAGCCAGAUGUCAUCUUCACUUACAUUGAUUUUCUCUCAGGGACCUGUUCAUGUUUUUCUCUCCUCUAGCAAAGACAUCUUUGAGGACCUCUAGCCCACGGGACAAGCCUAUAAACGUCUGAACCCUAAAUGAGAACACAGACCAUUUGGCUUCUUUCCCACAAGGCUCCUGAACCUCAUGCAAAACAACAGGACUGGAUAGACGUCUGUGUUCAGGGUUUGUGAACAUUCUGGGAAGGGCAGUAAUUCCACAAAAACUGUGGGACACUAAGGGGGCAGUCUGCGCAAGGACACAGAGGCUUACACCACAAAUUCUUCUUAUUCUUUUUCGACGGAGUCUCACUCUUGUCGCCCAGACUCCCUCUCAAAAAGAAAAUUUUUUGCUUUAGUCAGCCAGGCACUAUGGUUCAUACCUGUAAUCCCAGCAUUUUGGGAGGCCAAAGUGGGUGGAUUACUUGAGGUCAGGAGUUCGAGACUAGCCUGGCCAACAUGGUAAAAUCCCAUCUCUACUAAAAAUACAAAAAUUAGCCAGGUGUAGCGGCGCAUGCCUGUAAUCCCAGAAACUCAGGAAGCGGAGGCAGGAGAGUCACUUAAAUCUGGGAGGUGGAAGUUGCAGUGAGCCAAGAUUGUGCCACUGCACUCUAGCCUGGGAAACAGAGCAAGACGGCAUCUCAAACAAAAAGAAGCAAACAAACAAAAUUCUACUUUAGUCCCCUGCUUUUCUUGAAAUAUCUUCUUUCCAUACAGAAAAUCUUCUCACACAUGUUGAAUAUUAAGAGAAAGAAAUCUGACCUCAAAAGAAAAAUUGUCUUAGUUUGGGUUCAAAAAAAAAAAAGAAAAAGUUUAAAUAGAAAAAUUAAGCACAGAGAGACAUAAAUAACAGUUCCUAAGCCCGAUAAACAACUCUGAAGAAAAAUCUUGUAAGAAAACCUAUCUUUCAGUUAAAAAUGACAGAAAUCCAGCUCGCACAAGCUGAAGAGAAAAAGGAAUCCACUGGCUCAUAGAACCAGGAACCGCAGGCCAGGCGCAGUGGCUCACACCUGUAAUCUCAGCACUUUCAGAGGCCGAGGUGGGCAGACUGCUUGAGUCCCGGAGUUCAAGACCAGCCUGAGCAAUGUGGCAAAACCCCAUCUCUACUAAAAAUAUAAAAAUUAGCUGGGCACUGUGGCACGCCUGUAGUCCCAGCUACUCAGAAGGCUGAGGUGGGAGGAUCGCUUGAGCCUGGGAGGUGGAGGUUGCAGUAAGCAGAGAUCACACCAGUGCUCUCCAGCCUCGGUGACAGAGCAAGAGAGUCUCAAAAACAAAAAAGGUGGGCUUGGCUUCAAGCACAGAUCAAUCUGAUACAGAGCAGGCAAGCCCCAAAGUAGGGCUGAGCCCAUGAGACUUCUUGGCUUUGCCCAGGAAAGAAUUCAAGGGCAAGCUGAAGGUAAAAGAAAACAGCUUUAUUGAAGCGGUAGUGUUACAACCCUGUGACUGCUCCUGCAGAGCAGGUUUACCCUGUAGGCAGACAGGAGCAGCUCCGGGCAGUCUGGCAGCCACAUUUAUACCUACUUUUAAUAACAUGCAAAUUUGGCCGGGUGCGGUGGCUCAUGCCUGUAAUCCCAGCACAUUGGGAGGCGGAGCCAGGCAGAUCACCUGAGGUCAGGAGUUUGAUACCAGCCUAGUUAGCAUGGCAAAACCCCGUCUCUAUUAAAAAUACAAAAAUUAGCUGGGCAUGGUGGUACACACCUGUAAUCCCAGCUACUCGGGAGGCUGAGGCAUGAGAAUCGUUUGAACCUGGGAGGCAGAGGUUGCAGUGAGCCGAGAUCAUGCCACUGCACUCCAGCCUGGGCGACAGAGUGAGACUUUGUCUCAAAAUAAAUAAGUAAAUAAAAAUAACAUGCAGAUUAAAGGGCAGUUUAUGCAGAAAUUUCUAGGGAAGGGGGCCGGGCGCGGUGGCUCAUGCCUGUAAUCCCAGUACUUCGGGAGGCGAAAGUGGGCAGAUCACCUGAGGUCAGGAGUUCAAGACCAGCCUGGCCAACGUGGUGAAACCA
rnacentral:lncRNA from 10 species